CAAUAGCGUAUAUUUAAGUUGUUGCAGUUAAAAAGCUCGUAGUUGGAUUUCGGUUAAGAGCGACCGGUCCGCCGUUUGGUGUGCACUGGUUGGUUUUAACUUCCUGUAGAGGACGUGCUCUGGGUUUAACGACCUGGACUCGGAGUCUACGUGGUUACUUUGAAAAAAUUAGAGUGUUCAAAGCGGGCUUACGCUUGAAUAUUUCAGCAUGGAAUAACACUAUAGGACUCCUGUCCUAUUUCGUUGGUCUCGGGACGGGAGUAAUGAUUAAGAGGAACAGUUGGGGGCAUUCGUAUUUCAUUGUCAGAGGUGAAAUUCUUGGAUUUAUGAAAGACGAACUUCUGCGAAAGCACUUGCCAAGGAUGUUUNCAUUA
rnacentral:rRNA from 1 species